rnacentral:rRNA from 1 species
GAUUGAACGCUGGCGGCAGGCUUAACACAUGCAAGUCGAGCGGAGUUAUGGUGCUUGCACUAUGACUUAGCGGCGGACGGGUGAGUAAUGCUUAGGAAUCUGCCAUUUAGUGGGGGACAACAUUCCGAAAGGAAUGCUAAUACCGCAUACGUCCUACGGGAGAAAGCAGGGGAUCUUCGGACCUUGCGCUAAAUGAUGAGCCUAAGUCGGAUUAGCUAGUUGGUGGGGUAAAGGCCUACCAAGGCGACGAUCUGUAGCGGGUCUGAGAGGAUGAUCCGCCACACUGGGACUGAGACACGGCCCAGACUCCUACGGGAGGCAGCAGUGGGGAAUAUUGGACAAUGGGCGGAAGCCUGAUCCAGCCAUGCCGCGUGUGUGAAGAAGGCCUUUUGGUUGUAAAGCACUUUAAGCGAGGAGGAGGCUCUUCUAGUUAAUACCUAGGAUGAGUGGACGUUACUCGCAGAAUAAGCACCGGCUAACUCUGU